rnacentral:rRNA from 1 species
GGCUCAGGAUGAACGCUGGCGGUAUGCUUAACACAUGCAAGUCGAACGGGAAUCUUAGGAUUCUAGUGGCGGACGGGUGAGUAACGCGUGAGAAUUUGGCUUCAGGUCGGGGACAACAGUUGGAAACGACUGCUAAUACCGGAUAUGCCGGAAGGUGAAAGAUUUAUUGCCUGAAGAUAAGCUCGCGUCUGAUUAGCUAGUUGGUGGGGUAAGAGCCUAUCAAGGCGACGAUCAGUAGCUGGUCUGAGAGGAUGAUCAGCCACACUGGGACUGAGACACGGCCCAGACUCCUACGGGAGGCAGCAGUGGGGAAUUUUCCGCAAUGGGCGAAAGCCUGACGGAGCAAUACCGCGUGAGGGAGGAAGGCUCUUGGGUCGUAAACCUCUUUUCUCAGGGAAGAAAAAAAUGACGGUACCUGAGGAAUAAGCAUCGGCUAACUCCGUGCCAGCAGCCGCGGUAAUACGGAGGAUGCAAGCGUUAUCCGGAAUGAUUGGGCGUAAAGGGUCUGUAGGUGGUGCUGUAAGUCUGCUGUUAAAGAGUCACGCUCAACGUGAUAAAAGCGGUGGAAACUACAGGACUAGAGUGCGGUCGGGGCAGAAGGAAUUCCUGGUGUAGCGGUGAAAUGCGUAGAUAUCAGGAAGAACACCGGUGGCGAAAGCGUUCUGCUAGUCCGCAACUGACACUGAGGGACGAAAGCUAGGGGAGCGAAUGGGAUUAGAUACCCCAGUAGUCCUAGCCGUAAACGAUGGAUACUAGGCGUGGCUUGUAUCGACCCGAGCCGUGCCGGAGCUAACGCGUUAAGUAUCCCGCCCGGGGAGUACGCACGCAAGUGUGAAACU